CAUUACACAAUAACAUAUGAAGGCUGUACGCCGCUGCGCCCCCGGGCCAGUUGGCUGAGGCUGGAUUAUUUAUUACCCUUGUCUUUUGCGCACUUGUUGUUUCCUGGGCGGGUUCGCCCGCCUCCAGGACCACACCAUAAACCUUUUUUAUGCAGUUGCAAUCAGCGUCAGUACAACAAAUGUAAAUCAUUUACAACUUUCAACAACGGAUCUCUUGGUUCUGGCAUCGAUGAAGAACGCAGCGAAAUGCGAUACGUAGUGUGAAUUGCAGAAUUCAGUGAAUCAUCGAAUCUUUGAACGCACAUUGCGCCCUUUGGUAUUCCAAAGGGCAUGCCUGUUCGAGCGUCAUUUGUACCCUCAAGCUUUGCUUGGUGUUGGGCGUUUUUGUCUUUGGUUUGCCAAAGACUCGCCUUAAAACGAUUGGCAGCCGGCCUCCUGGUUACGCAGCGCAGCACAUUUUUGCGCUUGCAAUCAGCAAGAGGGCGGCACUCCAUCAAGACUCCUUCUCACGUUUGACCUCGGAUCAGGUAGGGAUACCCGCUGAACUUAAGCAUAUCAAUAA
rnacentral:misc_RNA from 1 species